UACGGAGGGUGCAAGCGUUAUCCGGAUUCACUGGGUUUAAAGGGUGCGUAGGAGGGCAGGGAAGUCCGUGGUGAAAUCCUAGAGCUUAACUCUAGAACUGCCGUGGAUACUCUCUGUCUUGAAUCCCGUGGAGAUGAGCGGAAUAUGUCAUGUAGCGGUGAAAUGACUUAGAUAUGACAUAGAACACCAAUUGCGAAGGCAGCUCGUUACACGAAGAUUGACUCUGAGGCACGAAAGCGUGGGGAUCAAACAGG
rnacentral:rRNA from 1 species